rnacentral:rRNA from 1 species
AACGAACGCUGGCGGCAUGCCUAACACAUGCAAGUCGAACGAGAUCUUCGGGUCUAGUGGCGCACGGGUGCGUAACGCGUGGGAAUCUGCCCUUUGGUUCGGAAUAACAGUUGGAAACGACUGCUAAUACCGGAUGAUGACGAAAGUCCAAAGAUUUAUCGCCAGAGGAUGAGCCCGCGUAGGAUUAGCUAGUUGGUGCGGUAAAGGCGCACCAAGGCGACGAUCCUUAGCUGGUCUGAGAGGAUGAUCAGCCACACUGGGACUGAGACACGGCCCAGACUCCUACGGGAGGCAGCAGUGGGGAAUAUUGGACAAUGGGCGAGAGCCUGAUCCAGCAAUGCCGCGUGAGUGAUGAAGGCCUUAGGGUUGUAAAGCUCUUUUACCCGGGAUGAUAAUGACAGUACCGGGAGAAUAAGCUCCGGCUAACUCCGUGCCAGCCGCCGCAGUAAAAC